AUGAAAAAAAAGAAAGCAUUGCCUUCUUUACUAUAUCUUGUAUUUAUCGUACUUUUGCCUUGGGGGGUCUCUUCCUCAUUUAACAAAUGUCUGGAACUUUGGAUUAAGAAUUGGUGGAAUACCAGGCAAUCCGAAACUCUCUUAACUGAUAUUCAAGAGAAAAGGAUUCUAGAAAGAUUCAUAGAAUUAGAAGAACUUUCUCUCUUGGACGAGAUGAUAAAAGGGAAACUAAAGACACAUGUACAAAAACCUCCUACAGGAAUACACAAGGAAAUAAUACAAUGGGUCAAAAUAAAUAAUGAGGAUCAUCUCCAUACCAUUUUGCAUUUCUCGACAAAUAUAAUCUGUUUGGCUAUUCUAAGUGGUUCUUUUUUUCUGGGUAAAGAGGAACUUGUCAUUUUGAAUUCUUGGGUUCAGGAAUUCUUCUAUAAUUUAAAUGACUCAAUAAAAGCUUUUUUUAUUCUUUUAGUUACUGAUUUUUUUGUUGGAUUUCACUCCACCCGUGGUUGGGAACUAGUAAUUCGUUGGGUCUACAACAAUUUUGGAUGGGCUCCUAACGAGCUUAUUUUCACUAUUUUUGUUUGUAGUUUUCCAGUAAUUCUAGAUACAUGUUUGAAAUUUUGGGUCUUUUUUUGUUUAAAUCGUCUAUCUCCUUCGCUUGUAGUCAUUUAUCAUUCAAUUAGUGAAGCAUAA
rnacentral:rRNA from 1 species